GUGUGGAUGAAUUGGCUACCACAGCAAUGGAAGAAAAAGGAAAUGAUGAACCUCAACAACUAAACUAUCCAAUUUUACAAAAUUGUGAAAGAACUAUGCGGCCUUAACCUUUGGUCAAGCCAAUGACGAUUGAAGUCAUUUUUAAACUCUUUCCUCGCUGCACAAACGUUUAUCAAAAUGCAAGAAGAAAACUGUACUGCACCGUGCUAUCUACUCUGUUUGACUUACGUCGGCCGUGGGAUCCUAAGAAGACCUUUUGAAGUGCUGAAAUGAAAAAUAGGCAAAGCUUCAUUUUGCUCUGGCUAGAGUAUCAUUUAAAAAAAUUCUGAACCUUCAGUGUUUUAAAGUAUAUAAUUUAUGUGCAUUAUAAAACAACCCUUUGUUUUCACAAGUCAACAUUCUU